ACGGCUCAGUAACACGUGGAUAACCUGCCCUUGGGACCGGGAUAGCCCCGGGAAACUGGGGAUAAACCCGGAUAGGUGAUGCUGCCUGGAAUGGUUCUUCACCGAAACACCUUCGGGUGCCCAAGGAUGGGUCUGCGGCCGAUUAGGUUGUUGGUAGGGUAACGGCCCACCAAGCCGAUCAUCGGUACGGGUUGUGAGAGCAAGAGCCCGGAGAUGGAACCUGAGACAAGGUUCCAGGCCCUACGGGGCGCGGCAGGCGCGAAACCUCCGCAAUGCACGCAAGUGCGACGGGGGAACCCCAAGUGCCACUCUUAACGGGGUGGCUUUUCAGAAGUGUAAAAAGCUUCUGGAAUAAGGGCUGGGCAAGACCGGUGCCAGCCGCCGCGGUAACACCGGCAGCUCAAGUGGUAGCCGCUUUUAUUGGGCCUAAAGCGUCCGUAGCCGGUCUGAUAAGUCUCUGGUGAAAUCCCACAGCUUAACUGUGGGAAUUGCUGGAGAUACUAUCAUGACUCGAGGUCGGGAGAGGCUGGAGGUACUCCCAGGGUAGGGGUGAAAUCCUGUAAUCCUGGGAGGACCACCUGUGGCGAAGGCGUCCAGCUGGAACGAACCUGACGGUGAGGGACGAAAGCCAGGGGCGCGAACCGGAUUAGAUACCCGGGUAGUCCUGGCCGUAAACGAUGUGGACUUGGUGUUGGGAUGGCUUCGAGCUGCCCCAGUGCCGAAAGGGAAGCUGUUAAGUCCACCGCCUGGGGAAGUACGGCCGCAAGGCUGAAACUUAAAGGAAUUGGCGGGGGAG
rnacentral:rRNA from 1 species